UGUGAAUUUAAAUUCUGGCUUCAGCACUUAACAGCUCAGUGCCUUUGGGCAAGUGAGUUGUUACUUAGUUUCUCGUGGCUCAGGUUCCUCCACUUUAGAAUGGGGGUCAUGACUUCAUAGUGUUAUUGUGUGGAUUAAUCUAUUUACAGAUUUGAAUAAGCAAGAAAAUUUAAUCAUGGUACACUACUUAAUUCAGGAGUGAAUAAUAUUAAGAUGUAAUUAACCAUAAUAUCACUGGAUAUGGAUUUUUGUAAAAAUUCUGUAAGAAAGAUACAGUCUUUAUCUUAAUAGGACUGAAUAGAUGAUAACUACAAUGAAUAAACCUAGAAGUACCACUCUAUGCAUAUUACUUGGAACUAUUAAGACAAGAUAUGUAGAAAGUUGAAAGUGGUUGUCUCUGAGAAGGUGGGAGGAAAAGCAAGGGGACCACAAUUUUUGUGUAUAAUCUAUUUAUUUAUUUGAGUGCAAAGAGAAGGCAAACGUAUUCUCUCUCACCAGUCACCAUUUAACUGACUCUCUACUCCUAAGGAAAAAUUCAAGGCAGGUUCUACAACUUUACUGGUCAUUUUUAGAUAAUGGAAAGUUAUUGGGUCACUGUCAAUCAUUAAAAAUUUUAGCUCUAUCUUAUAAUAAUAUAACUCCAGGCCUGGCGUGGUGGCUCAUGCCUAUAAUCCCAGCACUUUGGGAGGCCAAGGUGUGCGGAUCACAACAUCAAGAGAUCAAUACUAUCCUGGCCAACAUGGUGAAACGCUGUUCCUCCUAAAAAAAAAUGCAAAUAUUAGCUGAGUGUGGUGGCAUGUGUCUGUAGUCCCAGCUACUCUGGAGGCUGAAACAAGAGAAUUGCAUGAACCCAAGAGGCGGAAGUUGCAGCGAGCCGAGAUUGCGCCACUGCACUACAGCCUGGGCAACAAGAGCGGAACUGUGUUUCUCUCCAGUCUGGCCUUGUGACUUAUUACAACUUCAUAUUCAAUGUUAAUAUUUUUUCCCUUCUCUCAGCUUGAGGGAGAUUCAGGCUGCAGUGGCAAAGGGCAUGGUUGGAUUUUUUUCUCUUCUUUCCUCAUUUUCUCCUAUCCCUCCCGUUGUUGCUUCUGACUGCUCUAGGAUUGGCCAAGGAGAGAGGGGAUUAGGGGACAAGGGCCUAGUUUUGUGCAGCCCAUAUAGUUAUAACCUGGCAGCUGGUGUCCUCUGAAUGUGUUGUGGUUCCUUUCAUCUGGGAAAAGUCUUUUCUUUGCCUGUGUAUUCCUGCCUUGGCCCUCUGAGCUUCUGACGGUUCAUCCUCUCUGUUUGGUCCCUCCUUCCAUCCAUCCACAACUUCCUCUUGGAUAGGAUCCCUUUGAAUAUGAGCUUAAACUAGCUCCCUCUGUCUCUCUGGAUUCAUAACUGGCCUCCCAAAAGCAUGUGCCGUGGAGGGGCAGCUCGAUGCCAAGCAGGCCUUUUAUUCUGGCCACAGUCUUCACCUUUAGAGUCUUUUGGUAAGAAUCAUAUUCUAGUCACAUGUUCCUUAAACUCCAGGAGAGACAUGUUUGCAUUUUAAGGCAUCUCGUUGAACCACUCUCCCUUGGUUUAAGGGAUAGGAUAUGCACACCAACCUCUCUUCUAGGUGAAAUGCUCAAGGCAUCAUUAGCUUUCUCCAAAACAAUCUCUCCUGCUAGUUUCUGGCUUUGUCUUCCUCUCAUAGAGUGGUGAUGGACUUAUGUUGCUCUAACCUGUGUCACACUCACCUAACAUGGUCCUCAUAGAUGGCUUAGCACAGGGCAUUUCAUACAUUUAUUGGAAAGGUUUUGUUUGUUUGUUUGUUUUUUUUAAACUUCCAAUUCAUUACAGGUCUAUACCCGGCCCUUUAUUGCAUGACUGGUCUUCAGUUCACAUCACGCUAGUGACGUAUUAUGUGAGUUCAACAGCACCUGAAAAAUAGUCUGUUUGCACUUCUGCCCUUUUGGCUUUCUGAGCAGCACCAUGGCGGUUGGCAAAAACAAGCGCCUUAUGAAAGGUGGCAGAAAGGGAGCCAAGAAGAAAGUGGUUGAUCCAUUUUCUAAGAAAGAUUGGUAUGAUGUGAAAGCACCCUCUAUGUUCAAUAUAAGAAAUAUUGGAAAGACGCUAGUCACUGGGACCCAAGGAACCAAAAUUGCAUCUGAUGGCCUCAAGGGUCGAGUGUUUGAAGUUAGUCUUGCUGAUUUGCAGAAUGAUGAAGUUGCAUUUAGGAAAUUCAAGCUGAUUACUGAAGAUGUUCAGGGCAAAAACUGCCUGACUAACUUCAUGGCAUGGCUCUUACCUGUGACAAAAUGUGUUCCAUGGUCAAAAAAUGGCAGACAAUAAUUGAAGCUCAUGUUGAUGUCAAGACUACCGUUGGUUACUUGCUUCGUCUGUUCUGUGUUGGUUUUACUAAAAAACGUAACAAUCAGAUACGGAAGACCUCUUAUGCUCAGCACCAACAAGUCCGCCAAAUCCGGAAGAAGAUGAUGGAAAUCAUGACCCGAGAAGUGCAGACAAAUGACUUGAAAGAAGUGGUCAAUAAAUUGAUUCCAGAUAGCGUUGGGAAAGACAUAGAAAGGGCUCGCCAAUCCAUUUAUCCUCUCCAUGAUGUCUUCAUCAGAAAAGUAAAAAUGCUGAAGAAGCCCAAGUUUGAAUUGGGAAAACUCAUGGAGCUUCAUGGUGAAGGCAGUAGUUCUGGAAAAGCCACUGGGGAUGAGACAGGUGCUAAAGUUGAAUGAGCUGAUGGAUAUGAACCAGCAGUCCAAGAAUCUGUUUAAAGUUCAGACUUAUAAUAGUGGCAAAUAAAAAGUCUUAUUUGUG